GACGAACGCUGGCGGCGUGCCUAAUACAUGCAAGUCGAGCGGACGAAUCGAAAGCUUGCUUUUGAUUCGUUAGCGGCGGACGGGUGAGUAACACGUGGGCAACCUGCCCUGUAGACGGGGAUAACACCGAGAAAUCGGUGCUAAUACCGGAUAACACGAAAUGUCGCAUGACGUUUCGUUGAAAGACGGCGCAAGCUGCCGCUACAGGAUGGGCCCGCGGCGCAUUAGCUAGUUGGUGAGGUAACGGCUCACCAAGGCGACGAUACGUAGCCGACCUGAGAGGGUGAUCGGCCACACUGGGACUGAGACACGGCCCAGACUCCUACGGGAGGCAGCAGUAGGGAAUCUUCCGCAAUGGACGAAAGUCUGACGGAGCAACGCCGCGUGAGCGAAGAGGGCCUUCGGGUCGUAAAGCUCUGUUGUUAGGGAAGAACAAGUAACGCAGUAACUGGCGUUACCGUGACGGUACCUAACGAGAAAGCCACGGCUAACUACGUG
rnacentral:rRNA from 1 species